rnacentral:rRNA from 1 species
GACGAACCGUGCGAACGUUAUUCGGAAUCACUGGGCUUAAAGCGCGUGUAGGCGGGAGGGCACGUCCGUCGCUGAAAUCCCCCGGCUCAACCGGGGAACGGGCGCGGAUACGACCUUCCCGGAGGGGCGUAGGGGGACCUGGAACUUCCGGUGGAGCGGUGAAAUGCGUUGAGAUCGGAAGGAACGCCCGUGGCGAAAGCGAGGUCCUGGACGCCUACUGACGCUGAGACGCGAAAGCCAGGGGAGCGAACGGG